rnacentral:rRNA from 1 species
UACGUAGGGCGCAAGCGUUGUCCGGAAUUAUUGGGCGUAAAGAGCUCGUAGGCGGCUUGUCGCGUCGAUUGUGAAAGCCCGGGGCUUAACCUCGGGUCUGCAGUCGAUACGGGCUGGCUAGAGUGUGGUAGGGGAGAUCGGAAUUCCCGGUGUAGCGGUGAAAUGCGCAGAUAUCAGGAGGAACACCGGUGGCGAAGGCGGGUCUCUGGGCCGAUAUUGACGCUGAGGAGCGAAAGCGUGGGGAGCAAACAGG